AAGGAUUUAGUUUAAAUUGUUAAAACAUAUAUAUAGGUUAUAUAAAUAUAUAGGUUAGAAUCCUGUAAUCCUUA
rnacentral:tRNA from 1 species